rnacentral:rRNA from 1 species
UACGUAGGUGGCAAGCGUUGUCCGGAUUUACUGGGCGUAAAGAGCGCGCAGGCGGUCGGAUAAGUCGAAUGUGAAAGCCCCCGGCUCAACUGGGGAGGGUCAUUCGAUACUGUUCGACUCGAAGGCAGGAGAGGGAAGUGGAAUUCCCGGUGUAGUGGUGAAAUGCGUAGAUAUCAGGAGGAACACCGGUGGCGAAGGCGGGUCUCUGGGCCGUAACUGACGCUGAGGAGCGAAAGCGUGGGGAGCGAACAGG